AGCUCUAGCCACCACCAUUCACCUUUUUCGUUGCCGGCGCCGAUUCCGACAAAAUCCAGCCAAAAUUUUUACACCAUCCUCUUCCUCUCCUCAUGGGCUUUCUAUCCAUAUAAGUUUCAUAAUUUAUUUUCACUUGUGUGCAACGAAUCGAAGGAGAGAAUGUUUGAUAAUUCUUGGCUAAUUUCCCGAUUUCCGGCCAAGCCGUCGACUUUUUGGAGAAAUCCCAAGGUAAUCCGGUUGAGCAAGCUUCCGAGGACAUUCAAGAGAUGGGACUCACCUAGUCACCCUCCAUUGUGAGUUGGACUCUAUGAAGCACGGAUACGCCAUUUUGGCCUCGUAUCCCAUAUCAAUCCGGGAUACGGGUACGAUACGCAGUGGAUACGCUUGGAUACGCAGAUCUGGAUUUGGAUAGGUCCGUAUCUGAAUAGGAUACGAAUUUUUGUAAUUAAAUUGGAUACGCGGGGGUAAUAGUGACUUUUUACGCUG